CUCUACAGCCAUACUACCCUGAACACACCCGAGUUCACGUGAUCCUGGAACCUAGCAGGUCGGGCCUGGGGGCCUGGUUAGUACUUAGAUGGGAGACCACCUGGGAAUAACCGGUGCUGUGGGCU
rnacentral:rRNA from 1 species